rnacentral:rRNA from 1 species
CGGGUGAGUAACGCGUGAGGAACCUGCCUCAAAGAGGGGGACAACAGUUGGAAACGACUGCUAAUACCGCAUAAGCCCACGGCUCGGCAUCGAGCAGAGGGAAAAGGAGCAAUCCGCUUUGAGAUGGCCUCGCGUCCGAUUAGCUAGUUAGUGAGGUAACGGCCCACCAAGGCGACGAUCGGUAGCCGGACUGAGAGGUUGAACGGCCACAUUGGGACUGAGACACGGCCCAG